rnacentral:rRNA from 1 species
CAGUCGCCGCGGGAAUACGGAGGGUGCAAGCGUUAAUCGGAAUUACUGGGCGUAAAGCGCACGCAGGCGGUCUGUCAAGUCAGAUGUGAAAUCCCCGGGCUUAACCUGGGAACUGCAUUUGAAACUGGCAGGCUAGAGUCUUGUAGAGGGGGGUAGAAUUCCAGGUGUAGCGGUGAAAUGCGUAGAGAUCUGGAGGAAUACCGGUGGCGAAGGCGGCCCCCUGGACAAAGACUGACGCUCAGGUGCGAAAGCGUGGGGAGCAAACAGGAUUAGAUACCCGUGUAGUCCCUGUCUCUUAUAA